AGCGAACGCUGGCGGCAGGCCUAACACAUGCAAGUCGAACGGACCCUUCGGGGUUAGUGGCGGACGGGUGAGUAACACGUGGGAACGUGCCUUUAGGUUCGGAAUAGCUCCUGGAAACGGGUGGUAAUGCCGAAUGUGCCCUUCGGGGGAAAGAUUUAUCGCCUUUAGAGCGGCCCGCGUCUGAUUAGCUAGUUGGGGAGGUAAUGGCGCACCAAGGCGACGAUCAGCAGCUGGGCUGAGAGGAUGACCAGCCACAUUGGGACUGAGACACGGCCCAAACUCCUACGGGAGGCAGCAGUGGGGAAUCUUGCGCAAUGGGCGAAAGCCUGACGCAGCCAUGCCGCGUGGAUGAUGAAGGUCUUAGGAUUGUAAAAUCCUUUCACCGGUGAAGAUAAUGACUGUAGCCGGAGAAGAAGCCCCGGCUAACUUCGUGCCAGCAGCCGCCGUAAGAC
rnacentral:rRNA from 1 species